rnacentral:lncRNA from 1 species
CCUUCAGGUGAGAAUAUGACAGCCUGAAACAGCACCCCACACCCCAGGCAAAAAUCUGACAGCAUGGAACAAGACCACUGCUCCCAGGUGAGCAUUUGACAACCUGGGAAAGCACCCUCCACCCACACGUGAGCAUCUGACAGCCUGGAAACACCCCACUGCUUCCAGAUGAACAUCUGAUAGCCUGGAACAGAACCCCAGGCCUCCAAGUAAGCAUCUGAAAGCACGGAACAGCACUCUCGACCCCAGGGGAGCGUCUGACAACCUAGAACAGCACCUUCACCCCGAGGUGGGCAUCUGGCAGCAUAAAACAGCACCCCUACUGGCAGAUGAGCAUAUGACAGCCUGGAACAGCACCCACACCCCCAGGCGAGCAUCUGACAGCCUGGAGCAGCACACACAACCUUAGGCGAGCAUCUGACAGCCUGGAGCAGCGCCCACACCCCCAGGUGAGCAUGUGACAGCCUGGAGCAGCGCCCACACCCCCGGGCGAGCAUCUGACAGCCGGGAGCAGCACCCACACCCCCAGGUGAGCAUCUGACAGCCUGGGGCGGCGCCCACAGCCCCAGGUGAGCAUCUGACAGCCCGGAGCAGCGUCCACACCCCCAGGUGAGCAUCUGGCAGCCUGGAGCAGCACCCACACCCCCAGGUGAGCAUCUGACUGCCUGGAGCAGCACCCACACCCCCAGGUGAGCAUCUGACAGCCUGGAGCAGCGCCCACACACCGAGGUGAGCAUCUGACAGCCUGGAGCAGCGCCCACACCCCCAGGUGAGCAUCUGACAGCGUGGAGCAGCGCCCACACCCCCAGGUGGGCAUCUGACAGCCUGGAGCAGGCGCCCACAAUCCCAGGUUAGCAUCUGACAGCCUGGAGCAGCACCCACACCCCCAGUUGAGUAGCUGACAUCCUGGAGCUGCACCCAUACCCCCAGGUGAGAUCUGACAGCCUGGGUCAGCACCCACACCCCCAGGUGAGCAUCUGGCAACCUGGAACAGCAUCUACAGCCCCAGGUGACCAUCUGACAGCCUGAAGCAGCACCCACACCCCCAGGUGAGCAUGUGACCACAUGGAAUGUCAUCCUCACCUCCAGGUGAGCAUCGGACAGCCUGGAACAGAAUUCUCAAGCCCCAGGUGAGGAUCUGACAACCUGGAACAGAACCCCACUCUUCCAGGUGAGAAUCUGACAGCAUAAAACAGCACCCUGCACCCCCAGGUGAGCAUCUGACAGCCUGAAACAGCACCCUCCACCUUCAGGUGAGAAUAUGACAGCCUGAAACAGCACCCCGCACCCAGGCAAAAAUCUGACAGCAUGGAACAAGACUACUGCCCCCAGGUGGGCAUUUGACAGCCUGGGAAAGCACCCUCUACCCACACGUGAGCAUCUGACAGCCUGGAAACCCCCCCACUGCUUCCAGGUGAACAUCUGAUAGCCUGGAACAGAACCCCAGGCCUCCCAGUAAGCAUCUGAAAGCAAGGAACAGCACUCUCACCCCCAGGGGAGCAUCUGACAACCUAGAACAGCACCCUCACCCCGAGGUGGGCAUCUGGCAGCAUAAAACAGCACCCCUACUGGCAGAUGAGCAUAUGACAGCCUGGAACAGCACCCACACCCGCUGGCGAGAAUCUGACAGCCUGGAGCAACACCCACACCCCCAGGUGAGCAUCUGACAGCCUGGAGCAGCGCCCACACCCCCAGGUGAGCAUCUUACAGCCUGGAGCAGCGCCCACACCCCCAGGUGAGCAUCUGACAGCCUGGAGCAGCACCCACACUCCCAGGUGAGUAUCUGACAGCCUGGAGUAGCACCCACACCCCCAGGUGAGCAUCUGACAGCCUGGAACAGCAUCCACUCCCCCAGGUGAGCAUCUGACCACAUUGAAUGGCAUCCUCACCUCCAGGUGAGCAUCUGACAGCCUGGAACCGCACCCACACCCCCAGGCGAGCAUCUGACAGCCUGGAGCAGCACCCACACCCCCAGGUGAGCAUCUGACAGCCUGGAGCAGCACCCACACCCCCAGGGGAGUAUCUGACCGCAUGGAAUGUCAUCCUCACUUCCAGGUGAGCAUCCGACAGCCUGGAGCAGCACCCACACCCCCAGGUGAGCAUCUGACCGCAUGGAAUGGCAUCCUCACCUCCAGGUGAGCAUCCGACAGCCUGGAACAGAAUUC